rnacentral:rRNA from 1 species
AGAGUUUGAUCAUGGCUCAGGAUGAACGCUGGCGGCGUGCCUAACACAUGCAAGUCGAGCGGAAAUGACCAAGGUACUUGUACUGAGGACAUUUUAGCGGCGGACGGGUGAGUAACACGUGAGUAACCUGCCUUCAGCAGUGGAAUAACAUUGUGAAAACAGUGCUAAUACCGCAUAACGUCAUUUACCGGCAUCGGCAGAUGACCAAAGGAGAAAUCCGGCAGAAGAUGGACUCGCGUCCGAUUAGCUAGUUGGCGGGGUAAAGGCCCACCAAGGCCACGAUCGGUAGCCGAACUGAGAGGUUGAUCGGCCACAUUGGGACUGAGACACGGCCCAGACUCCUACGGGAGGCAGCAGUGGGGAAUAUUGGGCAAUGGGGGAAACCCUGACCCAGCAACGCCGCGUGAAGGACGAAGGCCUUCGGGUUGUAAACUUCUUUGAUCAGGGACGAAAGAAAUGACGGUACCUGAAGAACAAGCCACGGCUAACUACGUGCCAGCAGCCGCGGUAAUACGUAGGUGGCAAGCGUUAUCCGGAUUUACUGGGUGUAAAGGGCGUGCAGGCGGGUUUGCAAGUCGGAUGUGAAAUUCCCAGGCUUAACUUGGGCAGGUCAUCCGAAACUGCAGAUCUUGAGUACUGGAGAGGAUAGUGGAAUUCCUAGUGUAGCGGUA